rnacentral:rRNA from 1 species
AGUGAACGCUAGCGGUAGGCCUAACACAUGCAAGUCGAACGGCAGCACAGGAGAGCUUGCUCUCUGGGUGGCGAGUGGCGGACGGGUGAGGAAUACAUCGGAAUCUACUCUGUCGUGGGGGAUAACGUAGGGAAACUUACGCUAAUACCGCAUACGACCUACGGGUGAAAGCAGGGGAUCUUCGGACCUUGCGCGAUUGAAUGAGCCGAUGUCGGAUUAGCGAGUUGGCGGGGUAAAGGCCAACCACGGAGACGAUCCGUAGCUGGUCUGAGGGUGUAAAAAGCAAGACUGGAAAUGAGACACGGUCCAGACUCCUACGGGAGGCAGCAGUGAGGAAUAUUGGACAAUGAGCGCAAGCCUGAUCCAGCCAUACCGCGUGGGUGAAGAAGGCCUUCGGGUUGUAAAGCCCUUUUGUUGGGAAAGAAAUCCAGCUGGCUAAUACCCGGUUGGGAUGACGGUACCCAAAGAAUAAGCACCGGCUAACUUCGUGCCAGCCGCCGCCGUAA